rnacentral:rRNA from 1 species
AAUAGAUACCCCGGUAGUCCACGCCGUAAACGAUGUCGACUUGGAGGUUGUUCCCUUGAGGAGUGGCUUCCGGAGCUAACGCGUUAAGUCGACCGCCUGGGGAGUACGGCCGCAAGGUUAAAACUCAAAUGAAUUGACGGGGGCCCGCACAAGCGGUGGAGCAUGUGGUUUAAUUCGAUGCAACGCGAAGAACCUUACCUACUCUUGACAUCCACGGAACUUAGCAGAGAUGCUUUGGUGCCUUCGGGAACCGUGAGACAGGUGCUGCAUGGCUGUCGUCAGCUCGUGUUGUGAAUGUUGGGUUAAGUCCCGCAACGAGCGCAACCCUUAUCCUUUGUUGCCAGCGGUUAGGCCGGGAACUCAAAGGAGACUGCCAGUGAUAAACUGGAGGAAGGUGGGGAUGACGUCAAGUCAUCAUGGCCCUUACGAGUAGGGCUACACACGUGCUACAAUGGCGCAUACAAAGAGAAGCGACCUCGCGAGAGCAAGCGGACCUCAUAAAGUGCGUCGUAGUCCGGAUUGGAGU